CGGGUGAGUAACACGUGGAUAACCUACCUAUAAGACUGGGAUAACUUCGGGAAACCGGAGCUAAUACCGGAUAAUAUUUUGAACCGCAUGGUUCAAAAGUGAAAGACGGUCUUGCUGUCACUUAUAGAUGGAUCCGCGCUGCAUUAGCUAGUUGGUAAGGUAACGGCUUACCAAGGCAACGAUGCAUAGCCGACCUGAGAGGGUGAUCGGCCACACUGGAACUGAGACACGGUCCAGACUCCUACGGGAGGCAGCAGU
rnacentral:rRNA from 1 species